UAGCUUCCAAUUCCCAAAACCCUAGUUCAGUUUGCUUUCAUCUAAUCGCUUCAGUUUCGACGGCGGCUCUCUGGUUCUUGCGAGUUUGAUGUUUCGCACAGCUAUUUCAUUGUUCCUCUAUAUUUCAAUUUGUUUUUUUGAGCUAUUAUUGAUAAAUGCUUGUGAUGUUACAAUUUAAUUUCGUCAAGAUUGGAUUUUUCGAAUUUGGGUUUCUAAUAUUUUGAUCCAAGAUAAGUGUUUUGUUGUACAAGCAACGAUCUUAUCUGCCAUGGAGAUUUCUAUAUGGGCUUAUUGCAGUAUGCAUUGCCAUUGCCAUUGCCAUUCUUUUUUGAACUCAAUAUUAUAGUUUCUACUGCCAUAUGAUGUUCGGGAUAUUGCGCAAGGGCUUUGAGCUCCGCUCUUUAGAUGUUGGGUGGAUCUGUGAAAUCAUAUUUUCCUAUCUCCCAUCUGAUGGCAGCAUUUUCAUUUUGCCUUCCAGCUUACUGUUGUAUCACUCUUCAGAAUACAGCUUUCCAUUUUGCUGAUCUCUUUAAAUUUUCAGUUCACAUGCUAAAGGAAACAAAUGAGUAAAUCACAAUUUUGUUUUUCUAGGUCAUAAUGUUGUAAGCAUUCUUGCCCUGCUUAAUAAUAGGGCUCAAAGAAGUAAAGCUGGAAAUAGCAAGAUUUUCUCCCAUCUCUUUGAGCUUCUCACAAUCAGCCCUCAGAGCUCUAAGCUAUAGGUAUCCAUUGAAGAAUCACAUAUUCAUAAUCAUGUGUGUGUGUGUGUUUUUGUACACUCUAGAUUCAGCCACUAAGCUACAAAGACAAGCUUGUUCAUGAGCUGAAUAGUAUAGUUGUGUAAGAGUACUUCAUACUACUGAUGGAUGCCUGCUGCAGUGAAUUUGUAGCCUGUUUUUCAUUGGGGAUCUGGCCAAGUUAAAUAUAGAUAGAUUAUUGGCGUAAAUAAACUAAAAUUUGUUUGUAAAAUUUGGUACCAUAUAUUUAGAAUAUUUGCCGAGCAUUUAAAAAGUGGAUUGUCUAAUCUAUUAUCUCAACUUUCUCUAACCAUAAGCACAGAAGUAUUAAUACAGACUUGGAGCUAAGGUAGACUUGGUGCAAGAUGUUUUCUUUAAAGUAUUGUAACUUGUAAGCAAUUAUGUUCUCACAUGGCCUGAAUUUAAAAUGAAAACCACUUUGUAAUAAUUAAUUAAUAUCAUUGAAACAAUUGCUCUCAUUGCCACAUAGCUAUUGCUCUAUUAUUAUUAUCAUUAUUUCUUGCUUAUAGUGUAAACAAUCAAGCUACCCUUUUUGACUGGUUCAUUGAAACUAAUUGUGAAGAUUAUGACAUUACUAAUGGCUGUAUCUGCUUUUUGGAUUCUCCCGAUGCAACCCUCAGUUCUUCCAGAAAGCUACACUUGGCCGGUUACAGCCUGUACUCCUUUGUGUCUCUUGGGUGCUAUUGCGGCACCCACUUUUGGGUGGGACAACUGGCCUGGAGAUUUAAGGUUGUUCCACUCCCAAAGCUAAGGAUCGAACUCUUGACUUUUGGUUAAGGAUGAACGAGUCCCUUCCACUCAACCACACCCUCCAGGUUGGUAUUGCCUAUUGAUGGUUGGUCUUGAUCUCAUGAAAUUUCUGGCCUGUCCCAUAGACGAUUUUCUCUUACAACAGGACAAUUUUGAAGCUAGAUGAAAAAAGGAGUAGAUGUUGGCUACGAUUAAUCGGUUUCACAUUCACACUAAGGGACCAAAGCACUCUGUUCCAAAAAGCUGCUAUGAAGCCUGUUCAGAUGCUUGUGAAGUGUUGAAGGCUCUAAACCCUGCAACAAUGGCUAUAUACUGUUUACCCUGCAAUGUGAUUUCCUCAAUAUUUUAUAUAUGGAUGAGAUUCUUUUUUGUCUUUCAGACAGAUGAUAUGUUGUGUGGUUUAACUUUAAAAGGUGGAAGAGGUUCCUGUGAAUUUUUAGUUCAAUUAUCAUGAUGUUCUUUACUGCCUUUCACACUGGAGAUUUUAUCCCCUUCUGUGGUAACCAGUUUUUUGACUGCUCUACAGUAAAAGAAGAAAUUAAUGGCAAUUAUGGAAUUCUUACAGUGAA